rnacentral:rRNA from 1 species
GAAUUGACGGGGGCCCGCACAAGCGGUGGAGCAUGUGGUUUAAUUCGAAGCAACGCGAAGAACCUUACCAGGUCUUGACAUCCUUUGACCACUCUAGAGAUAGAGCUUCCCCUUCGGGGGGCAAAGUGACAGGUGGUGCAUGGUUGUCGUCAGCUCGUGUCGUGAGAUGUUGGGUUAAGUCCCGCAACGAGCGCAACCCUUAUUGUUAGUUGCCAUCAUUCAGUUGGGCACUCUAGCAAGACUGCCGGUGACAAACCGGAGGAAGGUGGGGAUGACGUCAAAUCAUCAUGCCCCUUAUGACCUGGGCUACACACGUGCUACAAUGGGAAGUACAACGAGUUGCGAAGUCGCGAGGCUAAGCUAAUCUCUUAAAGCUUCUCUCAGUUCGGAUUGCAGGCUGCAACUCGCCUGCAUGAAGCCGGAAUCGCUAGUAAUCGCGGAUCAGCACGCCGCGGUGAAUACGUUCCCGGGCCUUGUACACACCGCCCGUCACACCACGAGAGUUUGUAACACCCGAAGUCGGUGAGGUAACCUUUUUGGAGCCAGCCGCCUAAGGUGGGAUAGAUGAUUGGGGUGAAGUCGUAACAAGGUAGCCGUAUCGGAAGGUGCGGCUG